GAGCCACAACCUGUUAGUAGCAGAUGCUUGUGAUAAACCACAUCCUGUCAACCCAUCUGAUUCAGCACUAUUAAGGUGGACAGCUCCAUGCAUUUGACAAUGUCAUAUGUCACGCACUGUAUGGGACUUGUUCUUUACUUUCUCCAAAGCACCAAAGCCUGCUCAGCUGUACACAGACAGAACUUGAGGUCAACUAGAAUAUCUAUUCCAUGGAAAUAGGAGACGGUGUUUUACUCAACAUGCUAUCCCUGUAACAAGAAAAGUACUUGAAGAAUAGCAGGUUUUCAAGGAAGGAAAAUAACAGUGCUACUUUAUAGGGUUGUGGAGAGGAUUAAAUAUAGGGGUGCCUGGAAUGUACUUGACAUG